AUGGCCGGCGCCAAGAGAUUUGCUCAGUUGGCCAAGAGGCUCACCGUGACGGCCAAGGAAGACCAAGGAUGCUGCACCUCUGCACCGGCUAAGGGCCGUUGCGUCAUGUACACGGCCGACGGGAGGCGCUUCGAGGUCCCGCUGCUGUACCUCGGCACAACGGUCUUUGGUGACCUCCUGAGGAUGUCCCAGGAGGAGUUUGGCUUCGCGAGUGAUGGCAAGAUCACGCUGCCCUGUAAUGCCGCGGUGAUGGAGUACAUCAUGUGCUUGCUGAGGAGGAAUGCCUCUGCCGAGGUCGAGAAGGCGGUGCUGAGCUCUAUGGUGACACCUUGCCACUACACUGGCUCUGUGAUGCCUACCGUUGGAGGCAUCUAA
rnacentral:rRNA from 1 species